UUUAGUUUCGCGGCAGACAUUUAAUAAUCAACACCAGUGUUCAGAAAUCGAUUCCCAUCCGACAUCUAAACCUUCGAAAAUGUCUACCCUAAAAUUGAUUGUGAUAUUUGGAGUGGUUUUGAAUUUCGCACUGGCUAGACCGAGUGACAAUAUUGAUGGCGGUCGAUUUGAUAUUGAAACGCAACAGCCAUCCAUUCCCUUGGUCAGGAGACCGAGGCAAAACUUCUUGACAGCGCUAUUGUCCAGACCCUUACAAUCGGUGGGAGUUCGGGGUGAUUGGCGUUUCUGUCGCACAACCGAAAAUGGUUCGUCGAUCUACACAAAUGGUAUCGAUACGGUUUGUCGAGGUGUGUGUGAACAAACUGAUGUUACUUGUAAUGAUUAUUAUCGACCGUACUUUUACAAUUAUUUCAAUUGAUCUAGAACGUUCGAAACGUAUAAUAUGGUCAGGUAAUGUGACUAAAUGUGAUUAAAAACUUGCAAAACU